UCUCUCUCUCUCUCCUCUAAUGUGUUGGCCAACACACUCUCUGUCUGUCUGUCUGUCUGUCUCUCUCUCUGUCCUUGCCUCUCCUUGUCCUGUCUCCUUUUGUAGGACACGGGCAGGUGUGGUAGCUGUGCAUCCCCACGGGCUAGGUCUUAUGAGCUAUGAACAAGUAGGGGACCAAAAUCAUGCAGGGUAGCGGGCGCAAGAGUGGAGUGGAUACUCUUGAUGUUGACUAUCUGUUUGAGUGUGUAAUGCUGUCUGAUGCAUGGCUUUUGCAGCUGCGCUGGCAGAGGAAUUGUCCAGGAGCCCUACCCGGAGGAGAGAGACUCAGAAGUGGACCUGAUCACCCUGAACAUCCUUCUAAGCAGACAUGAACAGUCCUCAGCUUUCUCCCUCCUGCAUAACUGGCUGUGAGUAAAUGUACCAAGAGAAAAGAAGUCACGCGUCAGAGUCUACUGUCCUCACACAAUGGAAAGCGAGCAAGAGCGACGAGACCACGAGCAUUGUUGAUGCGAUGCAAAAGCCGUCCAUCUUUUCCAGAGGAAUCAUCCAGGAGCCCUAGAUGGGUGAGAAUAUGCAGAAGUGGACAU